rnacentral:misc_RNA from 1 species
UCUACGAUCCGGACACCAG